rnacentral:rRNA from 1 species
UCGAGGAUUUUUCUCAAUGGGGGCAACCCUGAAGGAGCGACGCCGCGUGGAGGAUGAAGGGCUUCGGCUCGUAAACUCCUGUCACCGACGAACAAGGCAUCCGGAUUAAUAAAUCGGAUGCUUGAUGGUAGUCGGAGAGGAAGGGGCGGCUAACUCUGUGCCAGCAGCCGCGGUGAUACAGAGGCCCCAAGCGUUGUUCGGAUUUACUGGGCGUAAAGGGUGUGUAGGGGGUCGUGUAAGUUUGACGUGAAAUCCCGUUGCUCAACAACGGAACUGCGUCGAAUACUGCUCGGCUGGAGGUUCGGAGAUGAGGGCGGAAUUCUCGGUGUAGCGGUGAAAUGCGUAGAUAUCGAGAGGAACGCCGAUGGCGAAAGCAGCCCUCAAGACGAAAUCUGACCCUGAAACACGAAGGCCAGGGGAGCAAACGGG